rnacentral:lncRNA from 1 species
GCUUCAGCUUCUGGUUGCUCUGCUGCAGGAAGCGGAUGUACUCAAUGGCCUUCCUCAGGAUCGCUGACUUAUUGAGCUGGGGAUGGGAAGCGAUGGCUCAGAACAACACCGGGUGAAGAACCCCCUUAUCCACCCCUUAUCCCAACCACCCCUCAGCUCCCACCUUGGCCUCGGUGCCCACCACCAGGUCCUUGAGCUCCACGAUCUUGUCGUUGAUGGAGGAGCGGUACCGCUUCUCGAUGGCGUUGUGCGCCGUCCGCUUCUCCCCCCUGCUCUGCGCCGGCGCCGGCUUCCCGCUCGGUGCCAGCCGGUUGAUGGGCAGCUUCUCCGUGUCCACCACCAGCGGCACCGUGGCCAGGAUGGUCCCUCCGCUCACCAGCGCCUAUGGGGAUGGGGGAUAACAGUGCGGGUCCUGGAGCAUGCCCUCAUCCCAGAGAUCCCCAAUGGUGGGACCUACCGGCACCUGCAGUGGGGCAGCGGAGCCACUGGCGCUGGUGGCCAAGGAGGUGAUGCUGGAGGUCUUGGCGCUGCCAGCAUCCGUCUUGACGGCCGUCAGCAGCAGGGAGUCAGCCUUGAUGAAAUGGGGCUGCAGCAGGACCUGGGGGGCAAUAGGAGGUCAGUGGGGCUGGGGGAGGCCAACGGGACCCCUCCAUCCCUAUCCCUGUGCUUACCGGCACCGGCUGGAUGUGGGGUGAGACGGGCUGGGCCGUGGGGGCAGCGGGGGGCAGGAGCUGCUGGGGUGCCACAUUCUGCAUUGCCAGGGGCUGGCCAUGCUGUGGGGCGGGCAGGGGGCUGGACAGGGUCUGCCCCACAGCCCCGGGCUGCACGGCUGGGCAGGGAGCAGAGCACAGCAUUACCCACAUCACCCCAACCCUCCAGCAGGAGCUCCCCAUCACAAACCCCCUCCAAUCCCCCCCCCCAUGCACCCUUAUUAUAUCCUCACCGGAGAAGCCGUGCUGGCUCUGGUAGCCCACCACGGGCUGGGGGCUGAAGGUGGGGGUCAGCAUCACACCG